CGCCCUCUUAUCAACAGCAUCUUUUAACUUAUGAAGUUCAGGUUUUAGACGAUCAAUUUCCUCUUUAAUAAUAUGCUUUUCCCUUUUCAAGUUUUCAAGUUUGUCCUCAAUGCUUCGCUUCUCAAUCUCGGCAUACUGAAUCUUCUUCUCAAGUCCACUAAUUUUCCCAGAUGCUUCAGACUCUUUUAGAUGCAUCUCUCUAAUUGAC
rnacentral:misc_RNA from 1 species